rnacentral:rRNA from 1 species
GAUGAACGCUAGCGGGAGGCCUAACACAUGCAAGUCGAACGGGAUCCCCGAGCAAUCGGGGUGAGAGUGGCGCACGGGUGAGUAACGCGUAUGCAACCUACCUUUAACAGAGGGAUAGCCCAUAGAAAUGUGGAUUAAUAUCUCAUAGUUCUUUUAGUCCGCAUGGAUUGAAAGAUAAAGCUCCGGCGGUUAAAGAUGGGCAUGCGUGACAUUAGCUAGUUGGUGAGGUAACGGCUCACCAAGACUACGAUGUCUAGGGGUUCUGAGAGGAUGAUCCCCCANACUGGUACUGAGACACGGACCAGACUCCUACGGGAGGCAGCAGUGAGGAAUAUUGGUCAAUGGGCGCAAGCCUGAACCAGCCAUCCCGCGUGCAGGAUGACGGCCCUAUGGGUUGUAAACUGCUUUUAUACACCAAGAAAACUCGACGUGUCGGAGCCCGACGGUAGUGUAUGAAUAAGCAUCGGCUAACUCCGUGCCAGCAGCCG